rnacentral:rRNA from 1 species
AGUGAACGCUGGCGGCAGGCCUAACACAUGCAAGUCGAGCGGCAGCGCGGGGGCAACCCUGGCGGCGAGCGGCGGACGGGUGAGGAAUUCGUCGGAAUCUGCCUUUUCGUGGGGGAUAACGUAGGGAAACUUACGCUAAUACCGCAUACGUCCUACGGGAGAAAGUGGGGGACCGCAAGGCCUCACGCAGAAAGAUGAGCCGACGACCGAUUAGCUAGUUGGUGAGGUAAAGGCCCACCAAGGCGACGAUCGGUAGCUGGUCUGAGAGGAUGAUCAGCCACACUGGAACUGAGACACGGCCCAGACUCCUACGGGAGGCAGCAGUAGGGAAUAUUCGCCAAUGGGCGCAAGCCUGAUCCAGCCAUGCCGCGUGUGUGAAGAAGGCCUUCGGAUUGUAAAGCACUUUUGUCCGGAAAGAAAUCCCUGGAGCUAAUACCUGCGGGGCAUGACGGUACCGGAAGAAUAAGCACCGGCUAACUUCGUG